rnacentral:lncRNA from 1 species
AAAUAUACAAGGAGAGGGGGGACUAGGCCAAAACCCUCAAAGAAAAAACAAAAGAAAACAUAAAAAAACGACUUCUAAAAUCUACAAUUGGGCAAGCCAAUUCUGUCUUGAAAGAAAUCCAUAUGUAACUCCGCUGGAAGCCUGUCUAACCAAACAAAAUCAUUCAUUGGCAGUUUGGAGCAGGUCCCCUAGAACGGGUGCUAUAAGGCGGCUUCCCAUCAAGAAGUUCUUUACGCAUUAUUUGUUGUUGCUUCUUUGUCAAAGCCAUUAUUGUAGGAUCCUCAACCGCUUUUUUAUCAUAUUCCUUGAUACGAUGCCAAAGGUCCAGGUCUUGUUGAAGUCUUGGAGGGACU